rnacentral:rRNA from 1 species
CUACGUGCCAGCAGCCGCGGUAAUACGUAGGUGGCAAGCGUUGUCCGGAUUUAUUGGGCGUAAAGCGAGCGCAGGCGGUUCCUUAAGUCUGAUGUGAAAGCCCCCGGCUCAACCGGGGAGGGUCAUUGGAAACUGGGGAACUUGAGUGCAGAAGAGGAGAGUGGAAUUCCAUGUGUAGCGGUGAAAUGCGUAGAUAUAUGGAGGAACACCAGUGGCGAAGGCGACUCUCUGGUCUGUAACUGACGCUGAGGCUCGAAAGCCAGGGGAGCGAACGGGAUUAGAUACCCCGGUAGUCCUGGCCGUAAACGAUGGGUACUAGGUGUAGGAGGUAUCGACCCCUUCUGUGCCGGAGUUAACGCAAUAAGUACCCCGCCUGGGGAGUACGACCGCAAGGUUGAAACUCAAAGGAAUUGACGGGGGCCCGCACAAGCGGUGGAGUAUGUGGUUUAAUUCGACGCAACGCGAAGAACCUUACCAAGCCUUGACAU